rnacentral:rRNA from 1 species
UACAGAGGUCUCAAGCGUUGUUCGGAUUCAUUGGGCGUAAAGGGUGCGUAGGCGGCGCGGUAAGUCGGGUGUGAAAUCUUGGAGCUUAACUCCGAAACUGCAUUCGAUACUGCCGUGCUUGAGGACUGGAGAGGAGACUGGAAUUUACGGUGUAGCGGUGAAAUGCGUAGAGAUCGGAAAGAACACCAACGGCGAAAGCACUCUGCUGGGCCGACACUGACACUGAGAGACGAAAGCUAGGGGAGCGAAUGGG